CUCCGCUAGAUGUAUCAGAGUGUUGAGAAAGCUUCUCCUAGAGUUAAGAGAAAAGAAAAGAAUGAUAUGAAAAAGAGUUCAUGAAUGCAAAGGGUAGAGUUAAGUUCUUGUAUUGGGACUGGAGUUGGGAUUACCAUUAGAGCUUCAUUGUUAUACUCUGGGUAGAUGAGAUCUUAUCUCUGUAUGCAUAACUUGGGACUUACCUUUACCAUUCUACUAAAGCUCAAUCAUUCUUGAGGGAUCCCCUGUUACUUAA
rnacentral:sRNA from 1 species